rnacentral:tRNA from 1 species
GGAGUUGUAGCUCAGCGGUAGAGUGCUUGCCUCGUACAUGUGAGGCACUGGGUUCAAUUCCCAGCACUACA